rnacentral:rRNA from 1 species
CCGGCACGGGUGAGUAACACAUCCAACCUGCCGUCUACUCUUGGCCAGCCUUCUGAAAGGAAGAUUAAUCCAGGAUGGCAUCAUGAGUUCACAUGUCCGCAUGAUUAAAGGUAUUUUCCGGUAGACGAUGGGGAUGCGUUCCAUUAGAUAGUAGGCGGGGUAACGGCCCACCUAGUCAACGAUGGAUAGGGGUUCUGAGAGGAAGGUCCCCCACAUUGGAACUGAGACACGGUCCAA